rnacentral:rRNA from 1 species
UGUAAGCGUAUACCAAAGUUGUUGCAGUUAAAACGCUCGUAGUCGGACUUUGGCAGUUCCGGAUGUGUGCACGUCGUGUGCGCACUUCGCGGGGAUUGCUUUUGUGGUCUUGCGUAGGAUGAGGCACUUUUAUUAGUGAACGUCCUCACGCAACCACUUUUUACUGUGAGAAAAUCAGAGUGCUCAAAGCAGGCAUUUGCCGUGAAUGUAUUAGCAUGGAAUAAUAGAAUAGGACUUGGUUCUAUUUUGUUGGUUUGUUGGGACUGAGUAAUGAUUAAGAGGGACAGUUGGGGGCAUUUGUAUCUCGGUGCUAGAGGUGAAAUUCUUAGAUUACCGAAAGACAAACUGCUGCGAAAGCGUCUGCCAAGGAUGUUUUCAUUGA